CCAAUCGAGUGGCGGACGGGUGAGUAACGCGUGGGUAACCUGCCUCAUACAGGGGGAUAACAACUGGAAACGGUUGAUAAUACCGCAUAAGCGCACGGUAUCGCAUGAUACAGUGUGAAAAACUCCGGUGGUAUGAGAUGGACCCGCGUCUGAUUAGCUAGUUGGAGGGGUAACGGCCCACCAAGGCGACGAUCAGUAGCCGGCCUGAGAGGGUGAACGGCCACAUUGGGACUGAGACACGGCCCAAACUCCUACGGGAGGCAGCAGUGGGGAAUAUUGCACAAUGGGGGAAACCCUGAUGCAAGCGACGCCGCGUGAGCGAAGAAGUAUUUCGGUAUGUAAAGCUCUAUCAGCAGGGAAGAAAAUGACGGUACCUGACUAAGAAGCCCCGGCUAACUACGUGCCAGCCGCUGC
rnacentral:rRNA from 1 species